GAUGAACGCUGGCGGCGCGCUUAACACAUGCAAGUCGAACGGUUAAAGCCCCUUCGGGGGUGCAUAGAGUGGCGAACGGCUGAGUAACACGUGGGCAACCUGCCCCCCGCACCGGGAUAGCCUCGGGAAACCGUGGGUAAUACCGGAUACUCCCCCCGGCCCGCAUGGGGCGGGGGGGAAAGCGUACACGGCGGGGGAUGGGCCCGCGGCCUGUUAGCUCGUUGGCGGGGUAACGGCCAACCAAGGCGACUAUGGGUAGCCGGGUUGAGAGACCGACCGGCCAGAUUGGGACUGAGACACGGCCCAGACUCCUACGGGAGGCAGCAGUGGGGAAUCUUGCACAAUGGGCGAAAGCCUGAUCCAGCCAUGCCGCGUGCGGGAAGAAGGCCUUCGGGUUGUAAACCGCUUUUGGCAGGAACGAAACGGCGCGAGCUAACACCCCGCGCUAAUGACGGUACCUGCAGAAUAAGCACCGGCUAACUACGUGCCAGC
rnacentral:rRNA from 1 species